rnacentral:rRNA from 1 species
UAGGGAAUCUUCGGCAAUGGGGGGAACCCUGACCGAGCAACGCCGCGUGAGUGAAGAAGGUUUUCGGAUCGUAAAGCUCUGUUGUUAAGGAAGAACGAGUGUGAGAAUGGAAAGUUCAUACUGUGACGGUACUUAACCAGAAAGGGACGGCUAACUACGUGCCAGCAGCCGCGGUAAUACGUAGGUGGCAAGCGUUGUCCGGAUUUAUUGGGCGUAAAGCGAGCGCAGGCGGUCAAUUAAGUCUGGUGUAAAAGCCCCCGGCUCAACCGGGGAGGGUCAUUGGAAACUGGUUGACUUGAGUGCAGAAGAGGAGAGUGGAAUUCCAUGUGUAGCGGUGAAAUGCGUAGAUAUAUGGAGGAACACCAGUGGCGAAGGCGACUCUCUGGUCUGUAACUGACGCUGAGGUACGAAAGCGUGGGUAGCAAACAGG